UACGAAGGGGGCUAGCGUUGUUCGGAAUUACUGGGCGUAAAGCGCGCGCAGGCGGUCUUCCAAGUCAGUGGUGAAAGCCCGGAGCUCAACUCCGGAACUGCCAUUGAAACUGUUAGACUUGAGGACGAGAGAGGUGAGUGGAAUUCCCAGUGUAGAGGUGAAAUUCGUAGAUAUUAGGAAGAACACCAGUGGCGAAGGCGGCUCACUGGUCCGGUACUGACGCUGAGGUGCGAAAGCGUGGGGAGCAAACAGG
rnacentral:rRNA from 1 species